CUGGGUCUCAAUGUAACGUGCAUCCCCGUGGGGGGUGUCGUCAGAAAAAUCUGAACACCACUGAACUUGGCUUUUCCCAUGACUCUGAGAGUGCUUCUUAGACAAAUGAGCUUUCCUGAUCUCAAAGCUACAAUAAGAGGACCUAAAAGUCAAAGAAAAUAAAGACAGAAUGUUUCACUGGCCACUGGCACUUGGCCAGGAUGCAGAGACUCUACAGUGGCAACACCUGACAGCCAAAAGUCCG